ensembl:lncRNA
CGCCCCGCCUCGCCUCGCCUCGCCCCACCUUGGCCCGCCCCACCUUGCCUUGCAUUUAAGUGAUAAUCACGCAUUUUGGCUUCGAAAACCCCCAAUUUAACAUGAAACAAAGCAUUUCCUCUUCGAAAAUCCCCCAUUUUACCCGAAAAUCACAUUUUCCCUUCAGAAAUACACCAUUUAAACAAAAAUCACGCAUUUUCUCUUUGAGAAUCCCUGAUUUAAAACAAAAAUCACGCAUAUUUUCUACAAAAAUAGUCCCUUUAACCCGAAAAUCACGCAUUUUCUCAUGGCAAUUUCCCCAUUUACAGUGAACUGGCACCAUGAUUUUUGGAUUAUAUGUUGGAGUUUCAAAGAAAAAAUGUGUGACUUUCAGUUAAAUGGGGUAUUUUCAAUGAAAAUGCAUGAUUUCUGCUUUAAAUGAUUUUAGGUUCAAAUUGCGGAAUUUUGAAGUGAAAAAGCAUAAUUUUCGUUUAAAUGCGGGGGGGGGCGGGGUUGAAUUAAACUUUUGAGUUUUGGUAAAAUGUGGGAUUUUGAAGAGGAAAUACAAAAUUUUCGGGUUAAAUUGUGGGUUUUCAUUGAGAAAAUGCAUGAUUUUUGGGUUAAAUGGGGGGUUUUGGAAGAGAAAAUGUGUGACUUUUGGUUAAAUGGGGGGUUUUCCAGAGAAAAUGCAUGACUUUCUGUUAAAUGGAGGAUUUUUGUGGUAAAAAUGCGUGGUUUCCAGGUUAAAGCAGGGAUUUUCGAUGAGAAAAUACAUGAUUUGGGGGUUAAUUUUUUUUUUUUUUUUAAGGGAAACUUGUGAUUUUUGAUUAAUUAG